UACAGAGGGUGCAAGCGUUGUUCGGAAUUAUUGGGCGUAAAGCGCGUGUAGGCGGUCUUGCAAGUCGGGUGUGAAAGCCCUCAGCUCAACUGAGGAAGUGCGCCCGAAACUGCAGGGCUUGAGUACCGGAGAGGAUGGCGGAAUUCCCCAAGUAGAGGUGAAAUUCGUAGAUAUGGGGGAGGAACACCGGUGGCGAAGGCGGCCAUCUGGACGGAUACUGACGCUGAGACGCGAAAAGCGUGGGGGAGCAAACAGG
rnacentral:rRNA from 1 species